rnacentral:lncRNA from 1 species
UCAUACUAAUUAAAUGUAGGAGGGGCUAGAAUUAAGGCACUCUUAAUUUUUCUCUUUUUUCUCUUUAUGGUUUCUCACACUAUCUUCUUGAAUGUUUACUCAAUGAGCUCCAUUUCUUUCAAAACUUAGUUUUCUUCAUGAAUUUCUCAUAUUUAUUGACUGAAAAAUAUCUUUAUUUAAUACUCUAGCCAUUUAAAACAAGAAAAUAGCUAUUUGGAUUGAUUUAGUCAUAUUUUUAAAUUUUUAAAAAACUAACCAUUAU